rnacentral:lncRNA from 1 species
AAAAUUUAGCUGUUUUGUCCUUAUAAUGUCAGCUAGUUUAAUUUUAUAUGUUUAGCCUCAUCUUUAAUGGUGGAAUCUUCUAACUAUGUAAGCUUUCUCUUCUUCUGAUUGAGCAAAAGAGAAAGAAAAGGGUUUUUGUCAAUGCCAUCAUUGCUGUGAGAGAAGGUAGGUGGGGGAAAAAAAAAACCCUAGGCACCAUCAUUACAAUAUGGAAGCUAAAGUGGGUCACAAGAAAGGUUUGUGGCCAAACUCCAUUUUUACAUUAUCUCUUUAAUCUUUUACUUAAUUUUAAACUUAGUGGGUGUCUGUGUGCAUUUAGUGCUUCAUUAAGAACACAAACUUUAUAUCAGAUAGAUAAAUAUUGAAUUAAAUUAUAUAUGUUGAUACUCUUUCUCUCUCUCUUUCUGUUAUCUUUUUAGUAAAAUUUUGAAUUUCUCAAGUAGCUAGGUUUUAGAUUUGAAUGGAAAGUGUAUGAAAUGGAAGAAUUAGUUCUGAUAAUGUGAAGUCAAUCAAUAUAACUUUCUCCAUGAUCUUAAAAGGUAAUAAAGUGUCCAACAGAAGGAAGAAAAGCAAUGAUUCAUUUAGAUACUCUAAAAAUACAUUAAAAAGUUAUAAUUAAAACACAAAAAAGGUCUGCAUAUAUGUAGAUAGUCUCUGUGUAUUCAUAUCUUUGAAACAUUAGGUCAUAAUUAGAUCAUAUAUAUAUAUAUAUAUAGAAAUUGUUGGUUUAUUAUUAUAUCUGUCAGCUGCUAAUUAUAUAAAGGAAUUAAUCAACAUGCAUUUGUAUGAUAAAUCAACAAAAAUUCAUUGGAUUUUGUUUUAUUUUAAUUUAAAUUCAUUUACAUGAAUUAUUACUUCAGAUAUAGGCAUGUUUAAUUCAACAAUUUACUAUUGGCAGUUAUCAGUCAGGGUCUGUUUAGUAAAAUUAGGGAAAUUACUUGUCUAGACUGCACCCAUAACCAUGCUUACGGACCAAACCAAUCAUAGUAAGGAUUUUUUUUACAGUGUAUGAGUGGGACCAUGGAGGUCUAGGUAAAAUUUUCCUCCAAAAUUAGUUGUUUUAUUAGUUUUUAACUGUUUUUAAUAAUAUUUAGUUAUUUUGAGUAGUUUUGCAUAAAACACUAAAAAACUAAACAUUACAAAGGUUACCUUUUAUUAAACGUUAUCUUAAUUUUUUAAAAUAGUUCAAACGCUAUGUUACCGAAUAUUAUAAAAAAUAACUUUUAGUUUUUUUAAUAGACAUUUAAAAAGCUAUUUCCGAACAUAAUUUUAAUAAAAUUUAGUCUCAUUACACUGGUCCCUCUAAGAGAGAGAGAGAGAGAGAGAGAGGAGUUGAAACCUGAAACAUUAAAUUAGUUUUGAAGGUAAAUUUGAAUCUUCAUAAAGAAAAAAGAAAACUUUCUUGGUUUGAAUGUGUAGAGAUUCAUAUCUAUCUACAAAGAUGAGUAGCAAUGAGAGGACUUUGACCAUGCCAUUGUCUGUGAAGAGAAGGCAAAAGUCUUGAAAUAUGAGGACAAAAGCAUGCAUAAAGGGGAAUGCAUUUUCUUUCACUGCCUUAAAGCAUAAACUUUUUGAUCUCUCUCUAACACACAUAUAUAUGCAGAGCUUUCUGGUUGUGCACUAGUUCUUGGCCUCUCUUUCUUUUUCUUGGCCAUUUCUCUAUAAGUCUAUAUAACUCUAAAAGAAACCAAAUGAAAGACCGACAAAGGAGACAAACAAUAUGAUUAAAUCAUCAGGGAUAUAUAUAUAUUACACGCUACAAUAUGUAAUAGUGGUCCCUUGAAGCAUGAACAGUAGUAUUUUUGUUGGCUAGCGCUAUUUGACCUAACUUGGUUUCUGAUGAUCAGGACCAUUGAUUGAUCAAAUUCUGAGUAGUACACUAUGGGCAGAAUAGAAGUUGCAGGGACUUUCAACUUGUGUUUUUGCCUUGGAAUGCGUUUAAAGUGAUCAAAAAGCCCAAAUUAUUAAAAUUCAAAACCCAUUUUCCUACAUCCAUGCAGCUUUUUUUUGUUAAUCUCAGAGCUUCAGAUCAUGAACCUUACUUCAUAUAUAAUUAAAAGUAUUUCGAGGAGAGGGGAUGCUGG